CCUUGGUUCCAAGUCUUCGCUAUUGUGUUCACUGUGUUUUAAGAGUCAUCUGCCUCUACAGUUUCUCCAUUUCUUUUUUGAUAUUGCUCAAAUAUUGACAACUGCAUAGGAAGAUAUGUACACUCCUAUAUGUAGAUGAUUUUUAAAAAGCAUUAUCUCAAAAGUUACUUUAUUUUGCUAACUACUAUUAGAAUGAAUGAGCAUAUUUCAAUUUUUCUUACACAAAAAUCAUUUGGCAGAUGUCCUCUCUUAACUAAUACAACAAACUAUUUUUCCCCCUUUACUUAGGCCUGCAUAAUGGAACUGUUAUUUUGACAGGUUUAUGUAAGGGUAAUUAUUGGUAAACUUUUUGCAAAGUGGCUAUAAUUAUUACCUUCCUGUAUUUACCCCCUUUGCAGCUCCUGCCAUCAAUAGAUGGAGUCUGUUUCUUCGCUACUUGAGUCUGCGUGGCCUUGUACCCUGCUUUUACCAAUAGAAUGUGUGGAAGUUGCUGUAGGCCAGUGCUGAACCUGGUCCUCUAGAGCAGGGGUUCCCAACCCCCACACUACAGACUGGUACUGGUCAGUGGCCCAUUAGGAACUGGGCUGCACCGCGGGAGGUGAGCAGCAGGUGAGGAAGCGAGGUUUCAUCUGUAUUUACAGCCACUCCUCAUUGCUUGCAUUAUCGCCUAAGCUCUACCUCCUGUCAGAUUAGUGGUGGCAUUAGAUUCUCACAGGAGUGCAAACCCUAUUGUGAACUGUGCAUGCAAGGAAUCUAGGUUGCACAGUCCUUAUGAGAAUCUAAUGCCUGAUGAUAUGUCACUGUCUCCUAUUACCCCCAGAUGGGACCGUCUAGUUGCAGGAAAAUAAGCUCAUAAUGAUUCUACAUUAUGGUGAGUUGUAUACUUAUUCAUUAUAUAUUACAAUGUAAUAAUAAAAUAAAUAAAGUCUACAAUAAAUGUAUUGUGUUUGAAUCAUUCUAAAACAAUCCCCCCAUCCCAGUCUGUGGAAAAUUUGUCUUCCACGAAACCAGUCCCUGGUACCAAAAAGGUUGGGCAUCACUGCUCUAGAGGGCCUUGCAUGUCUGUGAUUUCUUUCUCAGGAUGAUUAAACUCCUUAAGAACAAGCCUGGCUGAGCCUGCUAGAGAAUGAGAGACCAAGUGGCAAAGUGACAAGAGUGAUACCAACUAAGUCUCCAGAGACUGAGAGCCCGGCCCAGAUGAGUAAAACUAGCUAAGCCACUUACCUGAACGAUGGCUAACCGCCAAUGCAUUAAGAACCCAGCCAAGACGAGAAAACUUGCCUACCUGAUCCCAGUUUAAACUGCUGACCUUAAAUAGCAUGAGCUAAAUAAAUGGCUGUUUCAAAG
rnacentral:lncRNA from 1 species